rnacentral:rRNA from 1 species
UACGUAGGGUGCGAGCGUUAAUCGGAAUUACUGGGCGUACAGCGUGCGCAGGCGGUUCGUUGUGUCGGCGGGGAAAGCCCCGGGCUCAACCUGGGAAUGGCCGUUGAAACUGGCGAACUGGAGUGUGGCAGAGGGGGGUGGAAUUCCGCGUGUAGCAGUGAAAUGCGUAGAGAUGCGGAGGAACACCGAUGGCGAAGGCAGCCCCCUGGGCUGACACUGACGCUCAGGCACGAAAGCGUGGGGAGCAAACAGG